rnacentral:rRNA from 1 species
AGAGUUUGAUCCUGGCUCAGGACGAACGCUGGCGGCGUGCGUAACACAUGCAAGUCGAACGAGAGAGUGAGAGAAGCUUGCUUUUCUUAUGAUCGAGUGGCAAACGGGUGAGUAACGCGUAAACAACCUGCCCCGCAGAUGGGGACAACAGCUGGAAACGGCUGCUAAUACCGAAUACGGUCCUCUUAGCGCAUGGUAAGAGGAAGAAAGGGUGGCCUCUGGAACAAGCUACCGCUGUGGGAGGGGUUUGCGUCUGAUUAGCUGGUUGGAGGGGUAACGGCCCACCAAGGCGACGAUCAGUAGCCGGUCUGAGAGGAUGAACGGCCACACUGGAACUGAGACACGGUCCAGACUCCUACGGGAGGCAGCAGUGGGGAAUCUUCCGCAAUGGGCGAAAGCCUGACGGAGCAACGCCGCGUGAGUGAAGAAGGAUUUCGGUUCGUAAAGCUCUGUUGUUAGGGAAGAAUGAUUGUGUAGUAACUAUACACAGUAGAGACGGUACCUAACCAGAAAGCCACGGCUAACUACGUGCCAGCAGCCGCGGUAAUACGUAGGUGGCAAGCGUUGUCCGGAAUUAUUGGGCGUAAAGCGCGCGCAGGCGGCUUCCCAAGUCCCUCUUAAAAGUGCGGGGCUUAACCCCGUGAUGGGAAGGAAACUGGGAAGCUGGAGUAUCGGAGAGGAAAGUGGAAUUCCUAGUGUAGCGGUGAAAUGCGUAGAGAUUAGGAAGAACACCGGUGGCGAAGGCGACUUUCUGGACGAAAACUGACGCUGAGGCGCGAAAGCGUGGGGAGCAAACAGGAUUAGAUACCCUGGUAGUCCACGCCGUAAACG